rnacentral:lncRNA from 1 species
CUUUUACAUAAAUGUCAAACAAAGAGAUAAUUCACUAUUAUAUUAUAUAAAUCUAUAAACUAUUAAUUAUUUAAUUGACAACGGACUUUGCCUAGGUAGGAGGUUAGAAAGCACGUAGAAAAGGAAUUAUUGAACCAAUGGACUGACAGCAAUUAUUAUUUCUUUUUAUAAUUGAUUGAUUAUUCAGUUGAUAACUGUAACUUAUCUAAGCAACCAAAAGUCACUUUCAAUAUUGACGUAGCGAAAUGUUAUAGGAAAGAUGAAUGUUGGAAUGGAUAAGUUAUUGUAUAUUUGUGUAUAUCCGAGUGAUAAUGUUGAUAGAGUCCCACUGAUAAUGUUAUUAGGAGUUAUAGAAAUACUAGAAUUGUGGGAUUUAAAUUAAAUAGAUAGAGUCCCACUGAUAAUGUUGUUUCUAUCUUUUAGGAGUUAGUUUCAUUGUUUACUUUCUCUCUCACUUAUCUCUUUGUAAUUAGUUAGAGAUUAUCCUGUAUAAAUAGAUGUGGAAUGAAUCCUAAUAAGAGCUAUCAAAGAAAUCAUUUUUUCCUUGAAUGUGGUAUCAGAGCUAUAGGCUAUUUUCAAAAAAUUUUAGACAUUCAUUGCUCAGGCCUCAAUUGCCAAUUUUUCUAUCUUUGAUCUUACCCUUUUCUCCACCAUUAACCAUCACGUCCGAGGCUACAACGUCCACAGAAGUCCUCAAUCAUCCAUCUGAUGAUCUACAGAAUAUUUAAGCAACUUACAGACUAAAUGGGAAGAAUUAUCUCAAGUGGUCCCAAUUUAUCCGCACGUAUCUAAAGGGCAAGGGAAAAAUGAGCCAUCUUCUGGGAACAAGAUUGAAGAAGAGAGACCCCAACUUUGAAGCAUGGGAUGAACCAGAUUCCAUGAUCAUGUCUUGGUUAUGGAACUCCAUGACUCUUGAAAUCAGUGACACCUUUAUGUUUCUAUCUACGACCAAAGAAAUUUGGAAUGCUGUUCAACAAACACACUCAAAGGCUCACGAUGUAGCUCAGUUGUAUGAGAUUAAGAUCAAGACUACUUCAAUGAAACAAGGCAGCAAAAUUGUUACUGAGUACAUGAAUAUACUCCAGAAUUUAUGGCAAGAGCUAGACCAUUAUCACUAUUUUGAGACCAAAUGUCCAGAAGAUGCCGCUACCUUGAAGAAUUUUAUCUAAAAAGAUCGAGUGUAUGAUUUUCUUGCAUGGCUUAAUGCUGAGUUUGAUCAAUGAGGUUCCAAAUUAUUGGCAAAGAAGAGAUAUCCUAUCUGAACGAGACCAUCUCUCUAGUUCGAGCAGAAGAGAGUCAAUGGGGGGUGAUGGUUGACCCCCAAAUUCUUAACAGUUCUACUAUAGUGACAAAGAUGGAUGGAAAGGCAGAUCUAUCUCGAUCCUCGAAUUAAGAUAUUCGGGAUAAUCGUUGGUGUACUUAUUGCAAAAAAUUGAGACACACCAGAGACAAGUGCUGGAAGUUACAAUGUAAACUACCAAGCAAAGAGUAAGGAAACCAAG